ACAAAAGUAAUUUAUAAAGGACAGAAGUUUGCUCAGCACAUAGUCCUGAAGGCCGAAAGCCCAAGAAUACGGUCGUGCCGUCUGCGAGAGGCCUCUUAGUACACCGUGGACGCGGCGGAUGGCAUCACACGUCAAGACAGAGCACAUGUGCUGCCCAUGGUUGUCUCAGUUACACACUGAGGAAAAUUUAAAAGUUCUAGAAGUGCCUUGCAUCAAAGAGGACUUAGACUCCGGGUGUAACCUGUCAUGGGAUUCCUUCUCUUGUCCUAACUGGUUGGGAAAUGCUGCUUUGGAGAUAUGGCAGACAUCUGUCAGCUGUGCUCCUCAUCUGUCCCAGCAUCCAAGAAGCUUCAAUUCCUUUCCCGUUUCAGAGGUCUCCUCCAGUUGCCUCUUGCUACUUCUCAGAGUUGAUGUCGCACAUAAUAGUGAAGUAGGAGAAAGGGGUUUUGGACUUUGGUCUGGACCUCAAGCUCCCCGAAGCUACCCAUUUGUUAUUUUUCUUUUCCUCUGUGUCAUUUAAUUUUUACUUGGAUGUUUUAUCUUCUUAUACACUGGUCUAAGUAAGAUAUCAGUAAAAUUUCUUUGUGUCUA